rnacentral:tRNA from 1 species
GGUGGCUCUGUGGUAGAGCACUUGCCUUGCAUGCAUGAGGUCCUGGGUUCGAUUCCUCAGCACCA